rnacentral:rRNA from 1 species
AGAGUUUGAUCAUGGCUCAGAUUGAACGCUGGCGGCAUGCUUUACACAUGCAAGUCGAACGGCAGCGCGGGGCAACCUGGCGGCGAGUGGCGAACGGGUGAGUAAUAUAUCGGAACGUACCCAAGAGUGGGGGAUAACGUAGCGAAAGUUACGCUAAUACCGCAUACGAUCCAAGGAUGAAAGUGGGGGAUUCGCAAGAACCUCAUGCUCCUGGAGCGGCCGAUAUCUGAUUAGCUAGUUGGUAGGGUAAAGGCCUACCAAGGCUACGAUCAGUAGCUGGUCUGAGAGGACGACCAGCCACACUGGAACUGAGACACGGUCCAGACUCCUACGGGAGGCAGCAGUGGGGAAUUUUGGACAAUGGGCGCAAGCCUGAUCCAGCAAUGCCGCGUGAGUGAAGAAGGCCUUCGGGUUGUAAAGCUCUUUUGUCAGGGAAGAAACGGUGGGGGCUAAUAUCCUUCACUAAUGACGGUACCUGAAGAAUAAGCACCGGCUAACUACGUGCCAGCAGCCGCGGUAAUACGUAGGGUGCAAGCGUUAAUCGGAAUUACUGGGCGUAAAGCGUGCGCAGGCGGUUUUGUAAGUCUGUCGUGAAAGCCCCGGGCUCAACCUGGGAAUUGCGAUGGAGACUGCAAGGCUUGAAUCUGGCAGAGGGGGGUAGAAUUCCACGUGUAGCAGUGAAAUGCGUAGAGAUGUGGAGGAACACCGAUGGCGAAAGCAGCCCCCUGGGUCAAGAUUGACGCUCAUGCACGAAAGCGUGGGGAGCAAACAGGAUUAGAUACCCUGGUAGUCCACGCCCUAAACGAUGUCUACUAGUUGUCGGGUUUUAAUUAACUUGGUAACGCAGCUAACGCGUGAAGUAGACCGCCUGGGGAGUACGGUCGCAAGAUUAAAACUCAAUGAAUUGACGG